UACGAAGGGGGCUAGCGUUGUUCGGAAUUACUGGGCGUAAAGGGCGCGCAGGCGGCCCUCCAAGUCAGGCGUGAAAGCCCCGGGCUCAACCCGGGAAUAGCGCUUGAGACUGGGGGGCUUGAGUUCGGGAGAGGAGAGUGGAAUUCCCAGUGUAGAGGUGAAAUUCGUAGAUAUUGGGAAGAACACCGGUGGCGAAGGCGGCCACCUGGUCCGGCACUGACGCUGAGGCGCGAAAGCGUGGGGAGCAAACAGG
rnacentral:rRNA from 1 species